GACGAACGCUGGCGGCGUGCUUAACACAUGCAAGUCGAACGGAAAGGCCCUGCUUGCAGGGUGCUCGAGUGGCGAACGGGUGAGUAACACGUGGGUGAUCUGCCCCUUACUUUGGGAUAAGCCUGGGAAACUGGGUCUAAUACUGGAUAGGACCAUGCUGUAGGUGGUGUGGUGGAAAGAUUAGUUUCGGUAAGGGAUGAGCUCGCGGCCUAUCAGCUUGUUGGUGGGGUAAUGGCCUACCAAGGCGUCGACGGGUAGCCGGCCUGAGAGGGUGGACGGCCACAUUGGGACUGAGAUACGGCCCAGACUCCUACGGGAGGCAGCAGUGGGGAAUAUUGCACAAUGGGCGCAAGCCUGAUGCAGCGACGCCGCGUGGGAGAUGACGGCCUUCGGGUUGUAAACUCCUUUCAGCCAUGACGAAGCCCUUGUGGUGACGGUAGUGGUAGAAGAAGCACCGGCUAACUACGUG
rnacentral:rRNA from 1 species